rnacentral:rRNA from 1 species
AUUGAACGCUGGCGGCAGGCCUAAUACAUGCAAGUCGAGCGGAUGAAGGGAGAUUGCUCCCGGAUUCAGCGGCGGACGGGCGAGUAAUGCCUAGGAAUCUGCCUGGCCGUGGGGGAUAACGUCCGGAAACGGGCGCUAAUACCGCAUACGUCCUGAGGGAGAAAGUGGGGGAUCUUCGGACCUCAAGCUAUCAGAUGAGCCUAGGUCGGAUUAGCUAGUUGGUGGGGUAAAGGCCUACCAAGGCGACGAUCCGUAACUGGUCUGAGAGGAUGAUCAGUCACACUGGAACUGAGACACGGUCCAGACUCCUACGGGAGGCAGCAGUGGGGAAUAUUGGGCAAUGGGCGAAAGCCUGACCCAGCCACGCCGCGUGAGUGAAGAAGGUCUUCGGAUUGUAAAGCUCUGUUAGUAGGGAAGAAGGGCAGUAAGUGUAUACCUUGCUGUUUUGACGUUACCAACAGAGAAAGCACCGGCUAACUACGUG